GCGGGCGUAGCUCAGUUGGUUAGAGUGCCGGCCUGUCACGCCGGAGGUCGCGGGUUCGAGCCCCGUCGCCCGCGCCA
rnacentral:tRNA from 153 species